AUUGAACGCUGGCGGCAGGCCUAACACAUGCAAGUCGAACGAGUGGCGGACGGGUGAGUAAUGCCUGGGAAACCGCCUGAUGGAGGGGGAUAACUACUUGAAAAGGUAGCUUAUACCGCAUACCAUCGGAUGUGCCUCGAUGGGAUUAGCUUGUAGGUGGGGGAAUGGCUCACCUAGGCGACGAUCCCUAGCUGGUCUGAGAGGAUGACCAGCCACACUGGAAUGUAGACACGGUCCAGACUCCUACGGGAGGCAGCAGUGGGGAAUAGUGCACAAUGGGCGAAAGCCUGAUGCAGCCAUGCCGCGUGUAUGAAGAAGGCCGUCGGGUUGUAAAGUACUUUCAGCGGGGAGGCGUUACCCGCAGAAGAAGCACCGGCUAACUCCGUGCCAGCAGCCGCGGUAAUAC
rnacentral:rRNA from 1 species